rnacentral:rRNA from 1 species
CCCCACUGCUAUCGGGAUGGGACUAAGACAUGCUAGUCGUGCGUCUCCAAGCCAUGGCGGAGACGCGGCGCACAGCUCAGUAACACGUGGCUAACCUGCCCUUAGGACAGGGACAACCCCGGGAAACUGGGGCUAAUCCCUGAUAGGUGAGGGUUCCUGGAAUGGGCCCUCGCCGAAAGGGCGUCUAGACCAUGCUUCUAGGCGCUGCCCAAGGAUGGAGCCGCGGCCGAUCAGGUAGUUGGCGAGGCAACGGCUCACCAAGCCUAUAACCGGUACGGGCCGUGAGAGCGGGAGCCCGGAGAUGGGCACUGAGACAAGGGCCCAGGCCCUACGGGGCGCAGCAGUUGCGAAAACUCCGCAAUGCGCGAAAGCGUGACGGGGCUACCCCGAGUGCCGCCCGUUGAGGGCGGCUUUUCCAUGGUGUAAGGAGCCGUGGGAAUAAGGAGAGGGCAAGACUGGUGUCAGCCGCCGCGGUAAUACCAGCUCUCCGAGUGGUGGGGACGAUUAUUGGGCUUAAAGCGUUCGUAGCCGGCUUAACAAGUCUUCCGUUAAAUCCAACGAUCUAAUCGUUGGGCUGCGGGAGAUACUGUUGGGCUAGGAGGCGGGAGAAGCCGACGGUAUUCUCGGGGUAGGGGUGAAAUCCUGUAAUCCCGGGAGGACCACCAGUGGCGAAGGCGGUCGGCUAGAACGCGCUCGACGGUGAGGGACGAAAGCUGGGGGAGCGAACCGGAUUAGAAACCCGGGUAGUCCCAGCUGUAAACGAUGCGGGCUAGGUGUUGGGGUGGCCACGAGCCACUUCAGUGCCGCAUGGAAGCAAUUAAGCCCGCCGCCUGGGGAGUACGGCCGCAAGGCUGAAACUUAAAGGAAUUGGCGGGGGAGCACCACAAGGCGUGAAGCUUGCGGUUU